rnacentral:rRNA from 1 species
CACGUAGGGGCCAAGCGUUGUCCGGAUUUAUUGGGCGUAAAGAGCUCGUAGGCGGUUCGACAAGUCGGGUGUGAAAACUCCGGGCUCAACCCGGAGACGCCACCCGAUACUGUCGUGACUGGAGUCCGGUAGGGGAGUGGGGAAUUCCUGGUGUAGCGGUGAAAUGCGCAGAUAUCAGGAGGAACACCGGUGGCGAAGGCGGGACUCUGGGCCGAUACUGACGCUGAGGAGCGAAAGCGUGGGGAGCGAACAGG